rnacentral:tRNA from 1 species
AUUUCUUUAAUAUAUUAGUAUAUUUGACUUCCAAUCAAAAAGUCUAGAAUAUCUAGAAGAAAUA